rnacentral:lncRNA from 1 species
GUCUAUAUACAGUACAAUAUCUGGUAUAAUUAAUAAAGAAACAUGAAGCCAGUUUUGUUAUCUAUCAAUAUUUUAUUUUAUCUACUCAUUUGUAAUAGAGCAGGAAGUUUUGAAUUUCUGAAGAAUUUUGUAUGCUACAUCUGCCCAAAUUCUUCACAACCAAUCUUUACAAGAUGGUUUUGUUGUCUGAUUUGCGUGAACUGCACCUCUAGUGAAAUAGAUUCAGUAAUAGUAAAUGCAGGAUGAUUGAUUUCCAUUCUAUAUUAUUUUAAUCUUCUGUCUCUUCAAUUGCGAAAUUUAAUGAUGUUUUUUUGAUAUGUUAUGCAUCAUUUCACUGAAUGAAAAAUCCCUUUGUCUGUUCUGAAAUUGUUUGUUGCUUCAUCACAACUUUAUUAUAUGUAUAAAUUUAUUGUUUCCUGU